rnacentral:rRNA from 1 species
UACGUAGGGUGCAAGCGUUAAUCGGAAUUACUGGGCGUAAAGGGUGUGUAGGCGGUUUUUUAAGUCUGAUGUGAAAUCCCCGGGCUCAACCUGGGAACUGCGUUGGAUACUGGAGAACUAGAGUACGUAAGAGGGGGGUGGAAUUCCACGUGUAGCAGUGAAAUGCGUAGAUAUCAAGUGGAACACCAGUGGCGAAGGCGAGUCCCUGGACAACUCCUGACACUGAGGCACGAAAGCUAGGGGAGCAAACAGG